rnacentral:rRNA from 1 species
UACGUAGGCAGCGAGCGUUGUUCGGAGUUACUGGGCGUAAAGCGUGCGUAGGCGGUGUCUUAAGUUUGGUGUGAAAUCUCCCGGCUCAACUGGGAGGGUGCGCCGAAUACUGAAAGACUAGAGUGCGGGAGAGGAAAGUGGAAUUCCUGGUGUAGCGGUGAAAUGCGUAGAUAUCAGGAGGAACACCGGUGGUGUAGACGGCUUUCUGGACCG